rnacentral:rRNA from 1 species
AGUGAACGCUGGCGGUAGGCCUAAUACAUGCAAGUCGAACGGCCGCACAGUAAGAGCUUGCUCUUACGGGUGGCGAGUGGCGGACGGGUGAGGAAUACAUCGGAAUCUACUUUUUCGUGGGGGAUAACGUAGGGAAACUUACGCUAAUACCGCAUACGACCUACGGGUGAAAGCAGGGGUUCUUCGGACCUUGCGCGAUUGAAUGAGCCGAUGUCGGAUUAGCUAGUUGGCGGGGUAAAGGCUCACCAAGGCGACGAUCCGUAGCUGAUCUGAGAGGAUGAUCAGCCACACUGGAACUGAGACACGGUCCAGACUCCUACGGGAGGCAGCAGUGGGGAAUAUUGGGCAAUGGGCGCAAGCCUGAUCCAGCCAUACCGCGUGGGUGAAGAAGGCCUUCGGGUUGUAAAGCCCUUUUAUUGGGGAAGAAAAGCAGCAGAUUAAUACCCCGCUGUUCUGACGGUACCCAAAGAAUAAGCACCGGCUAACUUCGUG